ensembl:snRNA U6 U6 spliceosomal RNA
GAGCACUGGGAUCAUGCUUAUACACAAAAAUUGGAACAAUACAGAGAUUAGCAUGGCCCCUGUGCAAGGAUGACACUCAAAUUUGUGAACUGUUCCAUAUUUAA